rnacentral:lncRNA from 1 species
AAUUCUCUUAGUCUUUCUUGUCAACUCUCUUGAACUCUAUAGCCUAUGAAAUAACAUUUGAGGGAUGUGUUACAAAUAGGUACUUGCACCCUUGUUCAUUCCUGCUUAUUGGAUCUGCAAAAUAUGCAUGGGAAUAGGAUAAAAGUUCAUUCGUUUGGUUGUGUAAAUUCAUCUUGUUGCCGAGUUUUAAGAAUAUGUCGGUAAAC